rnacentral:misc_RNA from 1 species
GAUGAAGAACGUAGUGAAAUGCGAUAAGUAAUGUGAAUUGCAGAAUCUCGUGAAUCAUCGAAUCUUUGAACGCACAUUGCGCCCCCUGGUAUUCCGGGGGGCAUGCCUGUCCGAGCGUCAUUACAACCCUCAAGCUCAGCUUGGUGUUGGGCCCCGCCGCCCCGGCGGGCCCUAAAGUCAGUGGCGGUGCCGUCCGGCUCCGAGCGUAGUAAUUCUUCUCGCUCUGGAGGUCCGGUCGUGUGCUCGCCAGCAACCCCCAAUUUUUUUCAGGUUGACCUCGGAUCAGGUAGGGAUACCCGCUGAACUUAAGCAUAUCAAUAAGCGGGGA